rnacentral:misc_RNA from 1 species
GAUGAAGAACGUAGCGAAAUGCGAUAAGUAAUGCGAAUUGCAGAAUUCCGUGAGUCAUCGAAUCUUUGAACGCACAUUGCGCCCUCUGGUAUUCCGGAGGGCAUGCCUGUCUGAGCGUCAUUGUCAACCCUCAAGCUCGGCUUGCUGUUGGGUCCCGCCGUGGGCGACCACGGCGGACCCGAAAGGUAAUGGCGGUGCCCGUGGGGCCCUGGACGCAGCGAGCUUCUCGGCACGCGUCCCGGCGGUCCCCGGCGCCGUCUCCACCAAUCCACCACGCAGAUUGACCUCGGAUCAGGUAGGGAUACCCGCUGAACUUAAGCAUAUCAAUAAGCGGAGGA